GACGAACGCUGGCGGCGUGCUUAACACAUGCAAGUCGAACGUGAUUUUUGUGGAAAUUCUUUCGGGAAUGGAAAUGAAAUGAAAGUGGCGAACGGGUGAGUAACACGUGAGCAACCUACCUUACACAGGGGGAUAGCCGUUGGAAACGACGAUUAAUACCGCAUGAGACCACAGAAUCGCAUGAUAUAGGGGUCAAAGAUUUAUCGGUGUAAGAAGGGCUCGCGUCUGAUCAGCUAGUUGGAAGGGUAAAGGCCUACCAAGGCGACGAUCAGUAGCCGGUCUGAGAGGAUGAACGGCCACAUUGGAACUGAGACACGGUCCAAACUCCUACGGGAGGCAGCAGUGGGGAAUAUUGCACAAUGGGGGGAACCCUGAUGCAGCGACGCCGCGUGAGCGAAGAAGGUUUUCGAAUCGUAAAGCUCUGUCCUAUGAGAAGAUAAUGACGGUAUCAUAGGAGGAAGCCCCGGCUAAAUACGUG
rnacentral:rRNA from 1 species